rnacentral:rRNA from 1 species
CCUACGGGAGGCAGCAGUGAGGAAUAUUGCACAAUGGGCGCAAGCCUGAUGCAGCGACGCCGCGUGGGUGAAGAAGGUUUUCGGAUCGUAAAACCCUUUUCUGUGUGACGAGCAAGGACGGUAGCACAGGAAUAAGUCUCGGCUAACUACGUGCCAGCAGCCGCGGUAAAACGUAGGAGACAAACGUUAUCCGGAGUUACUGGGCGUAAAGGGCGUGUAGGUGGUAGUGUAAGUCUGGCGUGAAAUUUUUCGGCUUAACCGGGAAAGGUCGUCGGAUACUGCACAACUAGAGGACGGUAGAGGCGUGUGGAAUUCCGGGUGUAGUGGUGAAAUGCGUAGAGAUCCGGAGGAACACCAGUGGCGAAGGCGACACGCUGGGCCGUACCUGACACUGAUGCGCGACAGCAUGGGGAGCAAACAGGAUUAGAAACCCUGGUAGUCCAUGCCGUAAACGAUGCUAGCUGGGUGUUCAGGGGGGAAACCCCUCGGGGUACCGAAGUCAACACGGUAAGCUAGCCGCCUGGGGAGUACGGUCGCAAGAUUAAAACCUUAAAGGAAUUGACGGCGNGAGAGNGCGAAGGACGACACGAGGGAGUUAG